CCCCGCCGCAGGCGCGCGCCGGGAGGGGCUGCGGCGGCGCCGGGGGCACCGGGCGGCUCGGGACGGUACCGUACAGUAACGGUACGGCGGGGCACGGCACGGCACGGCGCGGCGAGCUCGGUAGGGUCUGGCACGGCACGGUAUGGCACGGUGUGGCGCGGAACGUUACAGCACGGCUCGGCAGGGCAGGAUUGUCCUGACAGAGCAGAAAGGACAGCCAGUGCCUGGGAAAGGUCAGAGGGAGCAAAUGAACACUCUUCAUGAUGAGCUUCGCAUUUCCAUGAUGGAAGGAGAAUAAAAGCCUGGCUCAGCUCCAUUAACCGAUGAGCAUGAACUGGGAUCAAUCCCAGAGCUGUGCUGGCAGGGCUGGCACAGGGACAGAGCUGCCACACCGCUGCUCUCCUGUCCCACACGGCCAAAGAGCUGCUCCAGGCCUGGAGAUGUCUGUCAGAGAGCCUGGCAUGGAGCAGAAAAGCCCUUCAGCGCCCAUCCCAGAGAACAUGAACAGUGCCAGCUCCAUCUUUGGGGAAGAAAGUGGGAUAGUGGAGCUGGGAUACUGGGAAACACAGCCCCGUGUGGUGCCCUGGGGUUGGGGAAGGGCAGAAGGGAUACGGGUGAUCCGAGGUGUCCGUGCCUGUCUGGGAAGGCUCAGAUGCACCGCGGCAGGGUGGCACCCUGCUGCAGGGACUGAGGGGCACGGUGCCAGCUGCAUCUCCAGCCGGAUCCGUGCGGGAUCCUGCCCAGCCGCAGCGCCCGGAGCGCUCCUGGCCGCCGUGCCGACAUCUGCCUCUGCACUGAGAGCUUUGGAUGCCCGGUUUGCCCUGGGAUCAGCCGCUUUGGAGCCUCUUUGGGGCCGGGAACAAGGCCGUGCCGUGCCGUGCCGUGCCGUGCCAGCUUUCCAGCGCCUCCGGACACAGCCGGGGCGGCACCGUCGGGGAUGGGAGCGGGAGGACGUGCGGCGUUUGAAGGAAAAGCCACCCUGCAGGAUUCAUGGGAAGGCAUUUGCAUGAUAAAGCACGGAGCCCUUUGCUUUGGGUAAAUCUGUAAUUAAUACUGAAUCGUUGUGUAAUUAAAAGCUACCGGCAUGGAAAACUCAAACAGAA